CCUACGGGGCGCACCAGUGGGGAAUAUUGCACAAUGGGCGCAAGCCUGAUGCUGCCAUGCCGCGUGUAUGAAGAAGGCCUUCGGGUUGUAAAGUACUUUCAGCGGGGAGGAAGGUGUUGCGGUUAAUAACCGCAGCAAUUGACGUUACCCGCAGAAGAAGCACCGGCUAACUCCGUGCCAGCAGCCGCGGUAAUACGGAGGGUGCAAGCGUUAAUCGGAAUUACUGGGCGUAAAGCGCACGCAGGCGGUCUGUCGAGUCGGAUGUGAAAUCCCCGGGCUCAACCUGGGGACUGCAUUCGAAACUGGCAGGCUAGAGUCUUGUAGAGGGGGGUAGAAUUCCAGGUGUAGCGGUGAAAUGCGUAGAGAUCUGGAGGAAUACCGGUGGCGAAGGCGGCCCCCUGGACAAAGACUGACGCUCAGGUGCGAAAGCGUGGGGAGCAAACAGGAUUAGAUACCCUCGUAGUC
rnacentral:rRNA from 1 species